AGCUGAAAUGCAUUGAAAAGUUAAAUCCUGCUACUGAAGCUUUAACAGAGGUUGUCUGCAAUCCACGAAGAUAAAAAAAAAUGAUGGUCCAGUACUACAGGUAUGAGAUCUCCAUUUAUUUAAGGCAGCAGCAUACAAAUUGGCAAAGUUUCGACCAAGCAAACGGUCUUUGUCAAAUCACUCUGCAGAGACCGAAUACAGCUAAUAUAUACAGGGUUAUUCACUAAAGGGAGAAAUCAAGAUGAAUUUCAAAUUAAGGGCCAGAUGAGCUAAAUAUAAAGCAUAGCUGACUUAGAAAACGUUUCCAAUUAAGCUAUUUUGAACUUAAAAUUCACUUUGAAUUCUCACUUUACCGAAUAACUCUAAAUUACAAGAUGUGUGUCCAUACGGACAAUUGAAGAAAAUGUGUCCAUCUUAUCACAUGACCACCAAAGUCACAUGCUGGUGUUGAGUCUUCCAAUACUAUUAAGGUAUCUCUUCACUGAGUGCUAACCUCCUUUUUUGGGGGUAUGUGUUUGGUUUACACUAUGACAAGUUGAGCAGAAUUAAAAGAUCUGGAAAGCACUUGGCGAGUAUCAGAAUGGUUGAAAUGUUACAGAACACUUUUAUACUUGUUUUGUGCGUCCCUAUGUUAGGCAUGUGGGUACUUACGUUAGGGGAAAAACUAAAAAUAAAUUGCUAUAUGGUACACACACAGCAGGUCAUAUCUCAUUAAUUUAUUUUUAUUUUCUACAUACAUGUACAGUCACUCAACAUUUUACAAAAGAUUGUAUUUAUGGUUCUGGUUCUUAGUGUACCCCUCUAACCUUUUUAGAUGGAGCUGGGAGAUCGUAUGGGGUUUCAAGCUAUUCAUUGUUCACAAAUUAAAUCUGAAGACC